AUUUUUAAAAGUUCGUGGACAGAUCCUUGCGUGAGUUUUUGGCGCAAAACAACUGGAGAUCAGAUGAGUGCGGAGCCUUUUUCGGGCCCACCGUGAUGAUUGACUAAAGAGAGUGAUGUAUGGCUUCUGGCAAAAAGCGAAGAUCAGCAACAGAGUCAAUGCCCAGGAUGGAGUUUACAAUUACAAAAACAUGGGAUAGUUCACCGGUCUCUCACAAGGGGAUUGCUCUGUCACUCAAACCAGAUGAUGAAGGAAUACUAAUGGUGGUAGAUGCCCCUUUCUUCAAUGAUCCUCCAUCCCCAGCUGGUCCAAGAGGAAAAUCUUACGAUCAUUUGUGGGAUUAUGAAGUUGUGGAAGCGUUUUUCUUGAAUAGCUGCAAAGAACUAUAUCUUGAAGUGGAACUCUGUCCACAUGGACAACAUUUGGUGUUAUUACUUGCUGGUAAAAGAAAAGCAUGGAAGAAAGAACUGGAUUUAAAAUACGAUUCUACAAUUCAUGAUCAAAAUUGGGAAGGCAAAGCACUUAUUCCUUGGAGUUAUUUUCCUGAUGGAGUUAACAAGUUUAAUGCCUAUGCGAUUCAUGGCUCUGGUGAUAAAAGAGUUUAUGAGGCUCUGUAUCCCAUACCUAAGGAGCAGGUAAACGAGGGCCAACAGCCUAACUUCAAAGAAUUUCUGUGCAAGGUUGUGUAAACCCUGUCUCUGAAGUCCAUGCAAGUAAAUGUGGAUGGUGCUGAUCCUCAAACAGAUGGGAUGCUGUGGAGAACUAUGUGAUUAUUUUCCACUCCUCCCUGAUAUUUUGUGAGUCUGUACCUUUGGUGCUAACUGCUUGGGGCAGGAUUAAAGUCAUCGCUUGGAAUACUUUGAGGAUUUCAGCUUGAGCUCAGUUAUGGGAGACGAAUGGAAGCAGCCUAGGUCUGAUCUAUGGAAGCAUGCCGAUGGGUCUUCAUGAUUCCAAAGGGAUGUGCUUGCAAAAUUGGCUUCUGUGAGCUACUAUACAGUGGGGUGGCAAAAAGGAUGAAAAAGACAUGUUGCCAGGAAAAGUAAGUUGCACAUUUAUGGGGAAGUAAGGAGAGGGGAAAUGAGACUAAUGGAGAUUACUGUACUGGGAGCCCACAUGGAUGCAGUGGGCUGAAUGGCCUCCUCCUUUGCUCUAAUAAGUAAAUACUUCAUUCCAACCCUAACCUGAACCUUCAAUACUGUUCCAAUGUGGGUCAAUAAAUGUUUGAAUAAUAGAACAGCAGAUGCUGGAGGAACAUAGCAAGCCAGGCAGCAUCUAUGGAGAGGAACAAACAGUCAAUAUUUCAGGCUGAGGCUCUUUGUCAGGACUCAAGAUUUCCAAAAUCUGUAGAAUUUCUUGUGUUUGAACAAUAGGACCUUUUUUAUGAACCAGGUCUUAAAGAGUAAAUCAUAUUCUUUAAAUCAUAUCUUAAAUUGUGCACUUAUUUUCCUCUGUUUUGCCUUUUGCUUCCAAAUUUGUUCUGAUGUUGUUUCCAUUGAAUUUGCAAUGUCUUCUUUUUAAUCACUUGUGGCAACUUUUGUUGGCGACUGCACAUUGAGUUGAGAAAUUCAAGUUCCCAGGAGAGAACACCACCAGUAGCCUGGCUGGGUGAUGCCAUGGCCAAGAAAGCUCACCAGAGCCUCUACUUUCGCAUGAGGCUGAAGAAAUUUGGCGUCCCCCCCCCCCCCCCCGACCCUCACCAAUUUCUAUCACUUUCUCCUUUUGCUUAUUCCCUGCCCUGCUUUUCCCUGGUCUGGUUUUGUACUCACGUAAUGUCAGUGCGAAGAUCUUCCUAUUCAUGUGAAAGAACAUCCAUGUAAAAUGUUAAUCUAUUUUUCUCUCUCCUCAGAUUUUGCCUGAACCGUUGGAUGUUUCCAGAAUUUUCUUGCCUUAAUUCAAAUGAUCAGAAAGAGCAUUAUUUUGAUAUUGCAAUAUAUCCACUAGCAGUUAAAUGUAAAAUUCUGAAUAUUAAGACACAUUCACAUUUGGAGUAAUAUUGUACAGAAAACUAAUUGUUUCGGUUGACAAGUUUAAUAUAGCAUUUAAUAGAAAUUGUUAAUAAAGAACCACAGAACAUGAAUCACUUCAAUGUCACCUUGCAUUGUGAUAAGACAGAUGAAUUGCUAACAUGUUUACUGCAAAUUGGCUUUGAAUGUGAAAGAGAUUAUUGAAAAUAAAAUCCUUUAAUAGCAUAAAAGUGACAUUUUUAACAGACCUGUGCAAAAAGUAUACAUUAUUGUAGCAAUUUCCCAGUAUCACGGACUUAAAUAAGAACGUAUGUAACAUGUGAAACCAAUAAAUAGUGUCAU